UAAAAAAACACAAACAAACAACAUAUGAACGAACAUAACAAUAAAAGCACAAAAACAAACAAUUAGAGGCGCCAACAACCAAAGUCACAAAACAUAAUCAGCAAGCAAAUACACAUGACCGACGACGUAGCGGUAACGAAGUUCCACAAAGCAGUAGUCACAAACCAAAAAAAGCUAUCGCAAACAAGAACUAUCGCCACUGUGAAACACGACACGGAUCUGGUGCAUAUACCCAUGUACAUCAAGAACAAUA
rnacentral:lncRNA from 1 species